rnacentral:rRNA from 1 species
GACGAACCGUGCGAACGUUGUUCGGAAUCACUGGGCUUAAAGGGCGCGUAGGCGGGCCGCCAAGUCCGCGGUGAAAUCCCCCGGCUCAACCGGGGAACUGCCGCGGAUACUGGAGGUCUCGAGGGAGGUAGGGGCAUGCGGAACUGCGGGUGGAGCGGUGAAAUGCGUUGAUAUCCGCAGGAACUCCGGUGGCGAAGGCGGCGUGCUGGACCUUUUCUGACGCUGAGACGCGAAAGCCAGGGGAGCGAACCGG